rnacentral:rRNA from 1 species
UACGGGGGGUGCGAGCGUUGUCCGGAAUCACUGGGCGUAAAGGGCGCGUAGGUGGCGUGAUAAGGGUGUGGUGAAAGCCCGGGGCUCAACCCCGGGUCUGCCAUGCCGACUGUCAGGCUGGAGUACUGUAGGGGCAGGCGGAAUUCCGGGUGUAGCGGUGGAAUGCGUAGAGAUCGGGAAGAACAUCAGUGGCGAAGGCGGCCUGCUGGGCUGUUGCUGACGCUGAGGCGCGACAGCGUGGGGAGCAAACAGG